rnacentral:lncRNA from 1 species
UUAAUAACAAAAUAACAGCGAUGCUUUCAUAAGGGAGAGGCACAUUCUAUCCCCAAAACAUUGAGGGAUUUAGAGAUAGAUACAAUUUCAUACGUCAGAGAUAGAUAGAGAGACAGAGAGAGAGUACAUCUUUGUUAUCUCUUAGUGCUACUUUUACUAUCUAAUGCUACACCUUUACAUAUAUUUUAUUGCAUAUUCUUUUCAGUCUCACAUUAGCCAAUUUGAAUG